ensembl:miRNA
AUUUGAAACGUUUUAGCCAAAAAUGUUUCCAUGGUAAAGGUGUUUUUUGCAGAAACGUUUCAGAUUU